AACGAACGCUGGCGGCAUGCCUAACACAUGCAAGUCGAACGCGUGUAGCAAUACACGAGUGGCGGACGGGUGAGUAACGCGUGGGAACCUGCCCAGUGGUAGGGAAUAACUGCGGGAAACUGCAGCUAAUACCCUAUACGGCCCUUUGGGGAAGAUUCAUCGCCAUUGGAGGGGCCCGCGUCGGAUUAGCUAGUUGGCGGGGUAAGU
rnacentral:rRNA from 1 species